rnacentral:rRNA from 1 species
GACGUAGGGCGCGAGCGUUGUCCGGAUUUAUUGGGCAUAAAGAGCUCGUAGGCGGCUUGUCGCGUCGGCUGUGAAAUCCCGUGGCUUAACUGCGGGUCUGCAGCCGAUACGGGCAGGCUAGAGUUCGGUAGGGGAGACUGGAAUUCCUGGUGUAGCGGUGAAAUGCGCAGAUAUCAGGAGGAACACCGAUGGCGAAGGCAGGUCUCUGGGCAUUAACUGACGCUGAGGAGCGAAAGCAUGGGGAGCGAACAGG